AGCUAGCGAUAAGAAGACUAGGCCAAACGAAUAAACACAUAAGGAUUGGAAGAAACUCGACAUAAUCUAAUUAUACUAAAUCAACAGUCAAUUUUAUAAAAACUGCAAGCUUCUCUUUCUGCCACGUAUGCUUAAGUCUAAAAUUUUGCUCUUUCAAAAUCGUAAACCAAUUCACUUCUUUUUACUAUUCAAUAAAAUUCUUGUUUGACAAAAAAUG
rnacentral:sRNA from 1 species